CCGUGCUAGGCGGAGGGCUCAGGGUCCUCUAAAAACCGCAAAUCCCUGUAAGGCGGGUCGAAUUCCCAUCAGAGGACCUUUUUGGUGGUACCGGCUAGUUCCCAUGGCGAUGAUAGACGGGUUCCACACGGCGAAAGUCCGUGAACUCCGCCAGGAUCGGAAGAUAGCAACGGUAAACGGCAACAUUCGGGUGAUGUGGAAGAGCCUGUCUGGAGCAAAGGGUUCAAGAUAAGGGCCAUUGAUUAGGUUCGAAGGUGGGUGCACGG
rnacentral:SRP_RNA from 1 species